GAUAAAGGAAACAUCACCGAGCGUGCAUCACUGAACCGCCUUCGGAUCGAAGUACCCACCUGUGUCAAUACUGCACCUAGCUUCCACAUUGUGCAGAUGUAAGGACUGAGAUUUGGCAGUGUAGCUAAACUCUCUGUUAACGAUGUUUUUGUGUAUUUUAAUUAAAAAAGAACUCGUCAAGUUUUGAGAGAAAACGAGUUAGAAUGAAGAUUUUAUGCGAUCUUUAGUUAUCACUUAAA
rnacentral:lncRNA from 1 species